rnacentral:rRNA from 1 species
UACGGAGGGCGCAAGCGUUGUUCGGAAUCACUGGGCGUAAAGCGCGUGCAGGCGGCUUGGUAAGUCGGAUGUGAAAUCCCGGAGCUCAACUCCGGAACUGCACCCGAUACUGCCUCGCUAGAGUCCCGGAGAGGAUGGCGGAAUUUCCGGUGUAGAGGUGAAAUUCGUAGAUAUCGGAAGGAACACCAGCGGCGAAGGCGGCCAUCUGGACGGUGACUGACGCUGAUGCGCGAAAGCCAGGGGAGCGAACGGG